GAAAUGAAUCGGGCGUCGUGGCCGAAUCAUUAGCAUAAACAUGGCUUCGUUCUUUUAAGCAUUGUAAUCGCCACAGAACUUUGGUCUGUACUUCCAUUAGCGUCGGAAUCGCAUUCCCACGCAACAUAUGGAAACAUCCGUCGCCUCCGCCGCCGGCGCCACCAUUUUGUCGUCCUCUUCUGCCGUCUUUGGCCGCCGAUAUCGACGGAUUCUCCUAUCCAACAAAUAUAACAGACGCAAAUAUACUCUCAAGAGAGGAUUUGAAGAUUGUUUUCCCCUUUCCACUGAAUUUUCAGGUCAAACUGCAACACUGGUAUCGGGAACUUCACUUGUUUCUAUGAAGACGAUGAUCUCGAAUGGAUAUGUCGGCAGAGGAAGCAGUAGAAAUUCAAAUAUCAACAAGAUUUACAAGCGAUUGGAAUCUUGUUUGGUGGUACCGCCGCCAAAAGGUAAGCUACCUCGCGCUAUCAUCAAGUUCCUCGGCGGCGCUUUCAUCGGAGCUAUUCCUGAAGUUACAUACAGCUACUUAAUAGAGCUUUUGGCAAAGGAAGGGUUUCUGAUAAUCUCAGUCCCUUACAAUGUGACUUUCGAUCAUGCUGAUGCUACGAGACAAGUUUUUGAGAGAUUUCAUGCUUGUUUGGACACCAUUUUAGCUUCCGGAUUGCCCGAUGAAGAUAUUUCAUCUGCUCAACUCGUUAAUCUUCCUCUAUUUUCUGUGGGACAUAGCAAUGGCGCUCUUCUUCAAGUACUCACAGGGAGCUACUUCGCUGAAAAGAUACCGAAGGCUAAUGCUAUAAUCUCCUUCAACAACAGGCCAGCAACAGAGGCUGUUCCUUACUUUGAGCAGUUGGGCCCUUUAACCAGUCAGAUGAUGCCAGUUGUACAAGCUUCGCCAGUUUACUCAAUAGCUAGGAGUGUCUCAGAGGAUGCAUGGAAGAUGUUGCUUGAUGCUGCUGGAGCUAUUGUUCCUGACAGAGAUCUAGAAGUCUUGAACUCUCUGACCAAAUUUGUUGAUCAGUUACCCUCAGUGGUAAACCAGAUGACAGAAGGGGUAUCAGAGUUCAAGCCAACUCCAUCUGAGAAUCGAGAUUGCUUCAAGUGUUCUUACAAUGUCCAACACACGCUCCUGGUGAAGUUCAGUUCAGACAUGAUCGAUGAGACAGAUCUACUCGAACAAACUCUGAAACCACGCGUCGAAUCUAUUAAUGGCACGAUCGAGAAGAUCCAGUUAACUGGUAACCACCUCACACCAUGCAUACAGGAGCCAAAGUGGGAGGUAGGUAAGUUGUACACUCCUGCAGAUGCGGUUGCGCAGGCCCUUAAAUCUUUUAAGACAAAUGGAUCUGAGCAAUUAGAGAGCUCCAAUUACAGUGCUACAAAUCCAGUGGAGGCCCCAUAUUCUCUGAUUCGAUAUUUCUUCCAGUUGCACUGCACCUCUGACUGUGCCGAUGCGGCGCCCAUGGAUUUUUGGAAAAUGUGGCUGCUCUCUCUCUCUCUCUCUCUGCCUCUUGCCUUUACCUCCAUCUGAAGAGCCUUCUGAUCGCCCUAUGACCAUGACGUCGUCCAUUGCGGCAAAAUCUGGUUCAGAUACAAGGAAGUUCCCAAAUCAAUUUCAUUAUCAGAGGAAGAAGGGAGGUUGAUGGCUUCUGAUUUGUUUUGGUCCAAUAAUUUCCCAACUGGAGAGAGUGAAAAGGAGAUUCAUGGGGCAGUGGAGGAGGAGGAGGAAGAGGAGGAGGCUAUGGUGGCUGAGAUCAGGUCUGUGGAUGAGAAGCCUUUGGAGAUUGAUGGUCAGACUCACUGUACUUUUGAGAAUGUUCCAACUGGACAGAGUGAAGAAGCCAUGGAAUUUCCAGAUUGGUUGAGUAUCAAUGAUGAUUUUUUGCAGCCGCGUUCGAAUUAUCAGUUCUCAAAUGAGGAUUACCUUCAAGAUCCUGACCUAUCUUGCAUGGACAUUGGGGAGAUCGAAGAUGUGGAUGGAGAUUGGUUAGCAUGAUUGUUGGGUUUUUUAUCUCAUACCAUGCUCUUUAAUAAUAUGAGAAAACGAAUGAAGCAUCUUUUUUCCCCAAACGUGAUUCCCUCCCCCUACAUACUUUGA